AGACAGAGGUGGCGAGCGUUGUUCGGAAUUAUUGGGCGUAAAGCGCGCGUAGGCGGUUGGGUUAGUCCUAUGUGAAAUCCCCCUGCUCAACAGGGGAACGUCGUAGGUGACUGCCCGGCUAGAGGAUGGGAGAGGAGAGCGGAAUUCCCGGUGGAGCGGUGAAAUGCGUAGAUAUCGGGAGGAAGGCCGGUGGCGAAGGCGGCUCUCUGGAACAUUCCUGACGCUGAGGUGCGAAAGCGUGGGUAGCAAACAGGAUUAGAAACCCCGGUAGUCC
rnacentral:rRNA from 1 species